rnacentral:rRNA from 1 species
UACAGAUGGGAUUGUAUUGUUGAUCUUAAAUAGGCCGCGUGUUUAGGUAGCCCAUGCACGUAAGUGCAUAUGAGCUGGAGGAAUAUAGAAGAGCAGAGGAAUAUUAAAAUGAGAAAUAAAAUCCUUAGAUAUUUAAUGGAAUAACUAUGGCGAGGGCUUCGCUCUAUAUAUUUCCUAACACUGAUACACUAUAGUGUAGGGAGCAAAAGGG